UUAUCAUCAUCCAGCUUAGCGAUAAGAAACGUGGUGAAAAUUUAACAGCGUGGAAUAAUCGUGGGCCAUCGGUUUAGCUGUGUGCCCUCGAGAUGCGGUGAUGGCUUUGCUGUACAGAUUCGCGCAGCUGCCUGACAGCAGUGGCACGCGGGUCUUCUCGUUCGUCGUCACAAGAAGCGUGGUACGGGACCCCGAAAGAGACGUGACAAGCAAGGAGCUCGUAUGCGGCUUUCAAAGAUGGUCCGUUGCGUUUUCACGAGGGAACAAGGUUCUAGGCGCGUACCUGGUGUGGCGCGGUGCGUCGAGGAACCUGCGCGUCUACGUGGACUUCACGUUCACCCUUCUGAACCGGGAACACUUCUCCAUGAACGAGGGAUUCUCCGGGAAACGGGUCAAGUUCACGUACGAGGCGCCCGCCCAGGGCAACCGGAACUACAUCCCGGUCUCGGACCUGUACAGCCGAAACUUCGCCGACACGAACGGCGAGUUCCAAUUGGAAUUGUCGAUGGCCAACGUGAGGACCGUGUACAUGACCGACCUUAAGAUGCCGGGCGGCACAUUCUCGUCGGGCCAAUCGAAGCCGAACAAAUUGGAGACCGAUUAUUUCGCGUUCGGCGGCUUCGAUUGGAACCUGGUCAUAUAUCCCCACGGGAACAAGGAGUUGGAGGGUUACACGAGGGGCCACGAGAACGGGAUCAGCGUUUACCUGAUGAGGAUGAGCGGGUUCGAUCAUCGGUGCAGGGUUAGAUACAGCGUGGCGUUGGGCGAGGGCGAUCGCAGGAUCGAUUCGGGCCAGAUCGAGGACCUGUCCGACGCGGAGCGUUGCGGGUUCGGGUGGCACACCAGGGUGAGGUGGUCCGAGGUGGCCCACAAAGGCGUGGUCAGGGUUUCCCUCGAGAUGGUCGAGGCGAGGACAAUUUGCGAGGUCGCGGUGCAAGCUCGCGGCCCCUCCGUCCUCCCCGCGACCCCCUGCUACGAUCGUGACAAGCAGGCGUGGAUGAUCAGGGCCGACUUGCACUCGGACACCGUCAGGCUGCACCUCGUCUACAAAGAUAUCCACAACGUUCCGAGGAAUCAUUUGAGGUACGUCAGUUGGUCAGCCUAUCUUCUUCGCGACGAGGAGGCGAACAUGACCGCGAUCAGUUUACCAGGGGCCCCGUUCAGCCGUUACUACGCCCAAGAGUCCGCGGACGAAGGUAUCAUAAUGGAGACGAAUCUGGACACGAACGAGGUGAAAGAAAAUCACUGUCCGUUCCUGACCGACAAAGGACAAUUGAGGAUCCGGCUCGAGUGGAACGAGAGCCAUUUGCUCUUCCAAGCGACCUAUCACAAGUACGACGACGUGUGCCGCAUCCACAAUCAACAAAUGAGACGGGAGAUCUCCCUCCUCCAGGCGGAGAAUUACAGCCUGGAGAGGCAAUUGUUCAGCUAUCAGAAGAGCCUCGCCUAUACGCAGGCGCAGCAACAGCAACAGCAGCAACAACAUCAGAAUCAACAGCACCACGGAGGCCAUCAAGCCCAUCUGGAGAGAUCCGCGUCGACAGACACCGAAUACGCCUGACAAGUGGAACAACAACAACAACAACAGAUCCAAUCAAACGAGCUGCCAACCGCGACCACAUGCCGGCGACAAUUGCCAAUCGUGCACGAGGAUGAUCGUCGUGUCCACCAGAACCUUGUCCGGAUGAUGGAUCGACGAUUGAGUAACGUGCAGCUCCAACAACGGCUGUACGAAUCGGAAUCGGGCUAUCAGCAACGAUACGGCGACGGUUCACCGUGUCAGAGUAUCGUCGAUCAAACGGUGGAUCAUCAACAACAACGUCCGAGUAUCGUGCAGCAACCGAAGUCGGCGCGAUCCAGCGUAGGCAGAUCGGACAGCGGCUCGGAUCGUGGAAACGAUCGUUACACCGGCUACUAUUUGGGGGCUGCCAAGAUGGCCACCAGGCGGGGAGAGCCACUUUGAAGAAGCUUAAGCGCGUUCUCGCGGACCAGUGGACUGGUACGUUUUACACGACACGUUUCGGGAUCACGAUAUAUCGGGAUACAAAUUGGCGAUCGUUCGUUUGGCGACGUGCUGUGAACACGUGUUCGAGGAACACGUUCGAGACGCAGGCACGGGGGAAAUAAAUUGCUGCUGAGAGGGGGAAACGAAGAGUAUAUGAUUUGGACGGUGGCCGAGAGAGGUCGCUAGUUUCGCAUAUUCCUCGUGUUUACCGCUGUAAUAGGAGACCCGUUUGUUUCGAGGAAAGGAUGAAUAAGGUGUUAAUCUUAUUUAGAGGAAAUAAAUAAAGAAGGAAUUUAUAUGUAUAGAGAAUCGUUGGAUUGCACGAGUCGUCUCUUUCAAAAAGUUGUGAAGGAGAGGAUAAUGGAAAGAAUUUCUUUUUUUCCUGGUGGCCGCUAUACAAGCUCGUGACCAGAUUUAACGAUCAACUCGACAAUAUAUGACAGAUGGAUGAGGCGACGAGAGAAAGAUGAUGCGGUGCAAGUUGCGGGCUCGGAAGGUAAUACUCGCACCGGAUUGGACCGACCGGAUUGACCAUUUUUCGUCCAUUUUUUUUUUUCCUCAAACGGAGUCCAAUUUGAAAGAGAAAAGAGCAAAAACGAAGAGGGUGAAUGUUCGAUUCGAAGUUCUCGACGACAAAGCAGCUCUGACGAAGAAAAAUUCGGCCGAAUGGAACCAACUUAUUGGAGCUGUCUUGUGGAGAAUCGUGAGAAGGAACCAGAAAGGAUUUCGCGUUAACACGAUUCGAACGCUGGAAAAAUUUCACAUACGUAUACAUAACACGCAUACACUCUUGAUAGAAAUCGAUCAAGAGAGGGAAUCGAAAGAGGAAUUAAAAAAAAAAAAAAAAAAAAAGAACGAAAUCCCCCUCGAUCACGAAUUCUAUUAUACACGUACAAGAAUACGAUUCUAUCUACUACUUUGUCAAUUUAUUAAGAGAAAACAAAAAACAAAAAAAAUACCUAUUUUCCUCUAAAGACUUUUUUCACCUAUCGUCUAUGACUUCUUUGAUAAUAAAGAAUCCGUGCGCGGUGUAGUCGCCGAGUCGUAACAACAUACUUAUUACGGUAGAAUACUUACACCUAAAACGAAUGCAAAUAAAAAAAAAAUUAAUAAUAAUAUUAAUAAUAAUACUUUAGAGUGCAGUCGAUGUUACAUAAACCGAAAGUAGGAAUGAACGAAAGAUGCUCUCGUUACAGAGCAAUCAACGUGGUACAUCAUAAACAUAUGCAUUCAUAAAUAUACAGAUAUACACACACAUACACACGGGCAUUAAUGUUCGUACUCGACUUUUUUUUAAAUAAAAAAGGCCAAAAGAGAUCAGGGUAAAAAAGAACAAUGCGAACGAUCCAAAUUUUUGACUUAUUGAACUAAUUUAUCAUUGUACGAAAAAUUUAUUAAUUUUUUCCGUUAAUUACUCAUUCUAAUAUACAUAUAUGUUGAAUGUUUAUAUUAUACGUCGAUCAAUUCGAUCAUUCCGAAUCAUGUUUAUACAUCAUUAUUUCUUUUUCUAAAAAUUAAAUACUUAUUAAUCGCCGUUUUAUCGAUAAAUUUACUAUCUAAAAAUUAUUAAUACGCGUUUUAGAUAACGAUAAAUUGUGUAAUUUGUACCAGGGAGAAGUUAAUGAAGAAAUUCGUUCAGAGUGAUAGAAUCACGAACAUCGUGCCGCGUGUGGCACUUAUAGAUCGAAGAAAUAUCCAGUUUAUUGCUCGUCGAAAAUACACACUUGUUUCUCCAACCAUUUUGGCCACGUUCUACUGUACCUGUACCAAUAUAGCGUCAUACGUGCGAGGUCUUCGACGAUAUUGCACUUUUCAAUUUUUGCAUCCCGCGCUUAUCGUCUAUUUUUCCUACGCCUUUCAUAUCAUCCGCCAUUUUCCAUCAAUCUUUCUUUUGCCUUUUUUGCAACAAUUUUCAAAUGGGACGACAGUCGAGAAUCUUUUUAAAUUUAAAAAUUUCCUUAUCCAAUUUAUCCUUUUUCAAUUUCUUCAGAUUUUUUUAUCUUUAAAAUUGACUCCUUCUUGUUAUCUUCGUGUUAUCCUCAUUCUCAAAGAAUCUAAGCUAACUCUCCACCGUUUCGUGGAACUGCUGAAACGGGGUAUGUCCCAACUUUUCAAUACUUCUUUAGGCAAAAACAGAUACUGGACAAAGCUGGUCAUACAAACUCAUAAAUAUCUCUUCGUGCAAACUUUCCUUUCUUGUAUUCUCUCUUCCCCACCAUUUAAAGUAGUUCACACAAAUCGGUACUUUUCAUCUUCCACUCCGGUUCAAAGUAUGUAUCUGUGUGUAGAGUACAAGAAAAGAUGCACAAUUCAACCAACCGGUAUCUACAUCCUGGCAGCGUAUCUACUUUCAUAUUGAUUUUCUUCGAGACGGUGAGAAUUCUACAACCGAUUCGUGAAACUGUUUCUCCUUAUCUUUUCCAUCUUGAUGCCGAUAUGAUGUCCCAUUUGAAAGCUUCGUAUCCUGUUCUUUCCUCGUGUAAUUAUAGUUUCAAAUAACCGAUAUCUAUAUACUGAAACACAUGUGUUUACGUUACGUCUUGCAUCAGCAUGCAUCGCGUCAGUAGCAAGACGAUCGAUACACCAGUUAGUUCACACAUUAGAUAUUACAGUCCACCAUGAACCGUCGUGUACCGCGCACGUGUGCCCGUGGUUGAAUCGGGUUUACUUGUACACACGAAACUCGUCCCAAUACCUGAUUAAAAGCACCGAUGAGAAACCUGAUAUCGUUCCUCCAAAGCUUGCAACUUUCCUUUCAUGCUCACGACUUCGAUUUUUCAUGUCGUUAACAUCUCUUAUUUCGUUCUAUCCUCGACUCUGCUCUUGAUAAAGAUAGACUCUGGAAAAUAUAAGUUAUUUCUAUGAGAUAAUUUUUAAAAGAAAAAUUUUAAAAUUACAGAUCAAAGAUUAUUCUUUUAUUCCCACUACGAUAGAGUCGUUCGAGACAAUUUUAGCGUAAGCAAUGGCAAGAUCCGCGAAAUUCGAACCGGUGCUUUUAACCGGAAGCACCAAUUCAUUCGAGAGAGAAAAAAAAACGAUACAUCGCAGUUCGAAAGUUGUGUCCCUCCUCUGAAGUAGCGGAGAUCUGUAUACUUUGUACAUAUUAUAACUGUACUAAACUGUUGAUGAUUUAAGAGAAUGAAAAUUGAAUAAGAAAAAGAGUUGUGCCUAUAGUAUGCGCGAAGCGGAGAAGGAUUUCAAGCGAAUCGCACGAUCGAGCAUCAUCGUUUCGUUCCAACGUUCAAAA
rnacentral:misc_RNA from 1 species